UGGUAAUAGACAAUAGACAAUAGACAAUAGCUGAUUGCAAUUGAGUCAUCCACAGAGUACAGUUACACGAUAAAGGGAAUAUCGUUUAGUGCAAGGUAAAGUCCGAUUAAAGAUAGUCCAAGGGUCUCC